AAUGUCCACUGGCUGACGUAGUUGACCUUACAGUCUCCAAUUGUGCCAGAUGUUUGCUGUCAUUGUUUGGCUGGGGUAGUUGCCCAGUUGGCUCUGUU